rnacentral:rRNA from 1 species
AGAGUUUGAUCAUGGCUCAGAAUCAACGCUGGCGGCGUGCCUCAGACAUGCAAGUCGAACGCGAAAGUUUCCUUCGGGAAACAAGUAGAGUGGCGCACGGGUGAGUAACACGUAGGUAAUCUACCUUUGGAUGGGGAAUAACAACCGGAAACGGUUGCUAAUACCGCAUAAUGCAGCGGCACCUAAUGGUGACAGUUGUUAAAGCGGGGGAUCGAAAGACCUCGCGUCUAAAGAGGAGCCUGCGGCGGAUUAGCUAGUUGGUAAGGUAAUGGCUUACCAAGGCUACGAUCCGUAACCGGCCUGAGAGGGCGGUCGGUCACACUGACACUGACAUACGGGUCAGACUCCUACGGGAGGCAGCAGUCGGGAAUUUUGGGCAAUGGGCGAAAGCCUGACCCAGCAACGCCGCGUGAAGGAUGAAAUCCCUCGGGAUGUAAACUUCGCAAGAACGGGAAGAAUAAGUAGGGGACAAUACCCCCUAUGAUGACGGUACCGUUUGUAAGCUCCGGCUAACUCCGUGCCAGCAGCCGCGGUA